rnacentral:tRNA from 1 species
ACCUGGGUGGCUCAGUCGGUUGAGCAUCUGACUUCAGCUCAGGUCAUGAUCUCACGGUCUGUGAGUUCGAGUCCCGCGUCGGGCU